UACAUGUUGCCAAAGGUUACAAAAGUUGAAUUCUAAAAUGAAAAUAUUUCUUCUAUAGAAGUGGUACACCAUAUGCAUCCCACAAAUUCAGAGAUAUGUAAGGAUAUGACCUUUGUGUGAACACUGAUGAAUCUAGCAUAAUACUGCUUGGCUUCAAUGGAUUAUUCACAGCAGAAGUAGUUGAAGUGUAUGCCUUGUUUUCUAAGACCACUGUGGGGGAUAAGGGGUUUAUUCCCAGUAUCUAUAAAGAUCCAGGGGCAAGAAAAGAAAAAAAAAAAAAUCAAAGCACACCGAAGAGGCCCUGUGAAGAUAUUGGAAGACAGGUGUCUACAAGCCAGGAAGAGAGGCCUUGCCAAAAUCCAACCCUGAUGACAAUUUGAUCUUGGACUUCUGCCCCCAGAACUUGAAAUGGUAGCGCUACUGCUGCCAACUUUCUACCCGCUUUGGAGAAAGCUGGAGUACCAGAGGGAGGCAGACCAUACAGAAGCAGAGAAAGCACUGUCUCAAGGCUCACCCCCAAAGCAUUAAAAAGACAUUUCACUCAGCAAAAGAAUAUUUUGAUUAUGCAAAACAGAUGUCACAUCCCAACCCCAUGUUGCUAAGUCUCACAAGAGAACAUCUUGAACUGCAACGAAAUUAUGAAGCCACAUAAAAGAAGGUUUCUCCCUCACUGUCCCUCAUCUUCUAAUACUAAAGAAGCAACUAAAGAAGAUUUUGCAAAUUAUUAUAAUUUUUAUGUAAUGGGAAUAGUCCAUUGUGCCAAGAUCCUAAGCAAACCCACCACCUAGUGACAUGCAGGGCAUUUGUCUACACCUUCAGAGCUUGCCAGAGCUACAGAUGCCAUCUUCCUGAACUGCCUUUGAAGUUCUCCUGUUUUUGCACUACAAAGAGGUACCAAGACGAUAGUAGGGAUGCAGGGAACAGGUCCCAUUCCCCAAUUCAAAAAAUGUCAGACAUAUUUUAUGAGCCUAAAUGACUUUGGGUCUCAUUGUCAAAAUCUUUCUUCACCAAGAGAU